AUUUUUAUAGUUGAACAACAACGGUAGCUUUUCACGCUUCAAGUUUGGGUUAAAACCCCAAUAAAAAUC
rnacentral:tRNA from 1 species